CAGCUAAACAGUGCUAACACUCAAAUUCAGGGAAAUGAAGCUGUUGAAUUCGAAUUGCCAAUAACACCUCAUUCGUUUUCAGUGGUCGAAAUUGCUGGUACAUCUUCAAGUAACGACAGUAACUUAAUUGGAGAAGAAUUUCAAAGCAUCCCUGCUAAAAAACCUAAACUAGAAUCCGAUCAACUACUUAGAGUUCUUACCAAGAAGAAAUUGGAAAAAUUAAUUCUUAAUAGUCCACAUGGAUUUGAUUUAAUAAAAGAAUACCAUGAUCAAGGUCUUUUAAGUGACACCAACCGUAAAAGAGUUGUGUCUUUUAUACUAAAAGUUGGGAACUUUAUAUUGGGACAUAAAUUUUACAGAAAAUAUUUUUUUAAUAUCUGCUAUUAAGAGUACUUUAUUUUAUAAAAACAAAUUUUAAGGUUAUAUUAGAAGAAAGAAAGGUUAUCUACAGUAUUCAGAAAUUUCAAUAAUAAAUAAAUAAUAACUCACCGUUGAUUACAUCAAUUUUUGUGUUCGUAUUAUAAACUCACUUUAUUGUUAAAUUUUAAAUUAAUUAACUCUAUUAUUAACACUCGAAAUAUCAACAAAAUAGAUAUACCAAUGACGCUCACUUUGUGAAAACGGUUGCCGCGUAAAGUAAAGAACCGACGCGCUGU